CAGGGAACACUGGCCUCACCCGGAGAACAAGGGAGGUAGAUGUAGCCAGAACGGGUUGCGGUAUUGUUCGCCUGCUCAGGAGAUCUCGGGUCUGAAGGAGAACACGGAGAGUGAAACUUCUUCCUUAAAAAAUGAAGUAAAAUCUUUCCUGUGGGGGUUACUUUUCAAUAAAAGGAGCCGCGUCCCAGAUCCCACCAGAGCCUGUUUCCUCCUCCCGCAGCCCUCUCUGACUCUGAAGUGCCACCUGAGUGCCUGCACUGGCUAGGUGCUGGGCCACCCAGUGGUGAUCUGAGCCAUCCUGCCCUCGGGGUGGGUGCCUCCUGCCUGCUGUGUGCUCAGGCUGCCUGCCUCCAGAAGGAAAUGCUCCUCCCGGGACCAGGGUGCCACAGUGGGGAGAAGGGUCCCAGACUGAUGAGAGCUGAAGGAAAAGCAGAGGGGCCUGGCCAGCCCAGAGGACAUCGUGCCACCAGGGUCCUGGAAGCAGGGAGCUCUGAGUCCUGCAGGUGGACAGGAAAGUAGAUGGGCAGGGGGGAGCUGUCCCCACCUCUGGGAGCUUGCAGUGGGGGUGGGGUUGUGGUGUUGAACAGUCAGAUGUCCUGGGCGCCUGCGGAAGGAGCAUCCUGGCCCGGGCUUCUACUGGAGGUGUACGGGAAGGGGGGGGGGUAGGUGUGUGUUCGAGGUGUAUAGGGCCAGGCAAUGUGGUCCACACAGGAGUGGUCCCGGAGGAAUGCUGGAGGUCCAGGGAUCGGGCCCCUCCUGCUUACUCUGGGAUGGGAAUCCAUUGAGAAACACUUUAAUUAGACUGACUUGUUAACAGUGUAGCAAUAUUUUCAUCCCCUUAGCUCCCAGGGGGGCCUCUUUCCACAUUUCCUUUGCUUGGGUCUGUUAAUACUUAGAAGAGUGUGUACACACACAUCUCCCCCCUCUCCUCCCCCUUGACCGACAUCAAGUCACAACAAGCUGAUCAAAAGGAGUCGAAUAAAAAUUGAUGUCAGGUCUGACGUGUGUUGUGUUUGGUCUCAGAAGUGUCCUCAACUGGGUCUUGUGACACAAGACACUCAAAGGCUGGGUUAUUGAAAGGUUUUAAGUCCUAGUGAAGCUUUUGAUCAUUUGUCUCCAGAGUGGCAAGGCGCUGCCCAGACCCUGACACUCCAGUGAAAAGGGGUACAGUUAACGACUGUGCCGCAUACCCCAGCCGUGGUGCUCGGGCCCACUGAGAGUGUCGCACUUGGCUGUCCUGUGGGUGUGUGUCGUAGUGCAGAGUCCUGGGUCCCUCUCCAGAGAGCUGGUUCUGUGGACCAGGUGGAGGCCUGCCUCGACAUUUGUAAAUGAGCCCCCCGGGGUGGCCUGAUUCCCACUGAUGCGUGUGGUCUUGGCCACUGGGGCAGCCUACCAAACCCACAGGCUGGGGUGUCCUCAACAGUGGGCACUUACUCCCUGAGGUUCUGGAGGCUGGGAAGUCCAGCCCAAGGUGCUGGCAGAUUGACCACUUGUCUGUCUUCUGGGCCUGCUUCCUGGUUCAUACACGCUUUCUUGCUGUGUCAUCAACUCGGAAGGAGCCAGAGAGCCAUGGGAUGUCUCUCGUGAGGACACUGAUCCCAUUUAUGAGGGUUCCACCCUGAUGACCUGAUCCCUCUCAGAGGCCCCAGCUCCUGAUCCAGUAGCAUGGGAGUUUGGUGGGGGGCACAGCAGCCACAGAGGCUGUGUUCUUUGGGGAUACCACAACGUCACAAGCC
rnacentral:lncRNA from 1 species